rnacentral:rRNA from 1 species
UACGUAGGGGGCAAGCGUUGUCCGGAAUCAUUGGGCGUAAAGAGCGUGUAGGCGGCUCGAUAAGUCUGCUGUGAAAGUCCAGGGCUCAACCCUGGAAGGCCGGUGGAAACUGUCGGGCUAGAGUCCGGAAGAGGCGAGUGGAAUUCCCGGUGUAGCGGUGAAAUGCGCAGAUAUCAGGAGGAACACCAACGGCGAAGGCAGCUCGCUGGGACGGUACUGACACUAAGGCGCGAAAGCGUGGGGAGCGAACAGG